CUGCCGAUGAUGACUUGACCACUGCGCAAUCUGAGUUCUGGGAACCAGGUGAUGGAGUGUGCUGAGAAACUGAGGCUG
ensembl:scaRNA